AGCUGGGCUCUGCGCCAAGAGGAGGAAUAACGGGAGCGGGGAGGCUGGGAAGGGGGGUGUGUGGUCAACGGGCAGGAAUUUCUGAAGCUGCUCUGCCGAAACCGUCUGUAUGUCCUAGGAGGAUGUUGUGGCGUUGUAUCGCACAUGAGAGACUGGUAGAGACUGGUAAUCAUGGGGAUGAGAAGCCUCAGCCACAGGUGUUUGGUGACCCCUCCUGCGAGCUGUGACUUGGAGCUGGCGUGAACUCAGCCCGCAGGCAGGCAUUCCCUUCUGGCUUUGUGUGAGAGCACGGCAGCUAAAAGUGAUGGGCACCGUUUUUACGGAGCGCGUCCUGGUGUGAUUUCUCAUUUCCACGAACAGCAAAGGUCGUGGCCUCACUGCAUGCUUGGCUGCCUUCAUCCCUGUGUGAGACCAAGAGGUGCCCGUUGUCUUCCUCAGCUCCUCCAAGUCUCUUUCUCCGUGCUGCACCCUAGGGAGACUCACAGCAGUUGCUCCAGAAUCAGGAGCAACGAGUGCAGGUUGCCCCAAUGAAGAAGAGUUAGUGAGAGGAGGCCUCACCUGGUACUGGACUGCUUGGCAUAAAACCAACAAUACACUGUUGUUAUUUAGUGCACCUGAUGUGAGAGUCCUUACAGCCAUUCUUUGCUUCAGUCGUUUACAAGCCCUGAUUUCAGUCCAAAACAAGCUUCCUUGAAAUAAAAUAGUCAUUUUCCAGUCUUCCUGUAGAAGCCAAAAGUAUUUUAAGUUGGCCUGGUCUGGCCUAAAUACAAGGUGGGGAGGGGGUCGGUAUGUUGGGGACAUUUUAGUAAUGAGAGGAAGAAUGUGAAAGGAAGGAUUAAACCCGGUGUUUUAUGUGUAUUCAUUGAGUCAAUUUAUAAGGUGCCUUUUGCAAAAUAUCUUGAGCGCUGCAUGAAAAACCACAAAGCAAAAUAUUUUAAAAAUCUGGAUGCAAAGCCAACAUGUCCCAGAGUACAGCCAGGCAGCGGAGGAGAACCUGGCACCAGGCGAAGUUCUCUAACCACUGGGCACCAGCAGAAGGACAUCCGUGGCUGUGGGGCAAGUCUUGGAAGAGAGGUGGUGAUAAGAAUUAUGAAUCCCGGUCUUCGCUGGGAUCCUGAUUGAGAAGCACGGGGCAGUGGCACCCACAUGGUGUGAGAAAGGCAGCACCACCUGGCUUUCAGCAUCUCCUUCUUGCCUGGUCCACUCUGGAGCGCAAGGGCUUGGAUCUUGAAGGCAGAUUCCCUGGAAAAGCUGCAAUUUCCCCAGCCUGCCAGCUAUAAGAAGGAGCAGAUCCACCCAAGGUUCAGAAUUGGGCUGUACGUGCUGCAGGCUUGGAGAGUCGACAAUGCCAGAGGAAACCGUGUACUCAUCUGCUAUUACAUGCCUGUCGUGUCCAGACUCCUGGCUCUCUUAGGGGUUUUUGCAAAAUCCCAAUGCCUGCAAUGAAGGCUGGCAAGGAAGAGGCGAGCUCGUUAGCCCGGCUCCAUGUGUGUAAGAGGAACCAGCAAGGUCCAGAGCUACAAGCCAGGAACAAGCAGUGGUGCUUGGGCAGAAGAUCCCAGCAGGGGUCCUGCCUGUGGGCUGCAUACUGCUGCUUGUGUAUAAAUUUAUAAACGUGCCAAAGAAACGCAGAGACUGGCUGCCACAGGAGUGUCCUGCUGGGGGAACCCACCAGCCGGGCUCCAGGUCUCAGCAGGGCCGCACCAACACGGGAGGCCUCACAGCUUUACCUCAGUGUGCCUCCAGCUCACCUCCUCCCACAGGUGGUGUGCUUUGAAGCCCACCAUCGAAUCCCCUCAGCUGAGGUCCUGCGUCUUUGUGCCAGGUUCUUAGCUGAGCACCGUUAUCAGUCGAGGGGCCGUGAUGCUCACCAGGGGACGUUCAUCCUUCCUGAGGAGCUACCAGGCAGCUAACAGAAGCGCUUUCACACAGGCCUGGUCCCUGCCUUUCUGCUGUGCUGUUGCUGAGGAGGGCCAGGGCUGUGUCUGGAGGCAGAAGGGCAAAGCUGGCGCUGCUCCAAGGUGCCCCACGAGUGGGAGCUGCCCCCAUCCCUGAGCAGAGGUGGGACAGGGCCUGUCUGAGACCAGGGGAGCUGGGGACCUGCAAGCGCUGCGUCCACUGCUCCUGGCUGCAUCUCCCUGUGUGCCAGCCCCAUCUCCAGAAGAGUCUCAGACCUGAGAGAGGUGUGAACGCACUACCAGGACACUGGGGAAGUUCUUGCUUUAGAAACAGAUACGGGGCCAAAGGCAGCAUGGCCCCCUGUGUUCCCUGGUCCAGGAACAGCUGCUGCUUCCCAACAGCCAGCAGACUGCAAGGGCGUGGGGUUUCCUUUGUGUUAGGGGUAAAUUUUGGUGCACCUUCAAAUAUUUCCAUUGCCCUCGGAGAGCUCUGUGCUCCGGGCUGAGAUCUGAAUGGUCUGUCUUGUCCCCUGCCAAUAUGAGGCUGUUCCCUGUAUUUUUUCCAGUGCUUGUUUUAUUCGUCCCAUGAGGCAAAUAAAAUUACUUCCCCUAGGAGGCUUUGACACAGGCAGCUAGAGACCAGCAGCUGGAGUCUUUUCUUGCUACGUACUCGCACCACUCUUUCCUUUGCCUUCAUCCUGUUCCAUUGUAGCACUUUCCGUGGGCUUGUGUCAGCAAUCCCGGCUCCUCACAGGGCUGCAGCCCCUUUCUGCUCCGCUCCCGCGUGCAGUGUUGUUACACAAAGCAGCAUCGCAGCAUGGUGCCGAGGAAAGAGCUGUUUUCUCUCCUGAGUAGAUUCUCCAGAGUUGUUAUUACUUUUCCAACAGCAAAUACAAAGCAAGUGGAAAUGUUGGCUGAUGCUGCUAAUAAAAUUCUUGAGCAUCUACGUGUGCUUUGAAAUGCUUUCACCCCACUGCCCUGCUCAAGGGGUACCAGACACAGGGGAAAGCCUGUCAACAUAAACGUCAAAGGGAUCUUUGGAUUCUCAGAUUCGUCAGAUUUGACCUAAAUCCUCAUGGAGGAGAAGGAGCAGGCCGGGAGUCUGUGGCUGGAGGUGUAAGCAAUGUGGUGGCUCUCACACCACCUCAGGGUCCUUUAUCCACCCACUUCAGAUAGAGAUUUGAUUAAAGCAGGAAUAUUUCUGCAAAGCUGUGCUGCUGCCUCUCAUUGAGCUGAAAGAUAUUCCUUCCCCUCCCUCAGCUUCAUCUCCUUCAUCUUCACCGGGUCCUCUCUCAAAAGCAAUUAACCAGUACCGGCUGAAGUCGGGGACAUUGCCCACACAAAUCCUUUCUGCUCUUGUUUUGUUGUCCCUGUAACCUGAGUCACGGUGCCUGACUGCCCUAGGUCAGUAUUUAAUCCUUUCUGCAUCACCUCCUCCUGGUCAGCUGCUUGGUUUCAAGCUGCUUUUUACCCUUGAGACUAAUGCUGGCAUCUUGGAGGGAUGCUUAGGGAUGAGCGAGAGGUUCGGCUACUGGGCAACACCACGGCUUGGAGCCACCACCAUGGCUCCGUGCCCUCCCACGAACUUUAAGCCUGCUGAUCUCUAAUCAGUGCUACAGAAACCUAAACAAACGAGCCCAGGCCAAAGCAUUCAUAAUUACUGGCUCAGGCUCACAGAUAAUGAGUUUAGGGCUGCUCUAAAGACAUCUUAGAUAGGCUCCAUGUAAAGGGACUGGCCUAUAAUUGACCCUUCUGCUGACAUCUGAACUCUGCCCAGGAUGAGGCACCUGGGGAGAGCAGUUUGGGGAAGGAGGGGCCGUGGGGCCGACAGGACGCAGAUGGGCUGCGCUUUGCUGUGGGUGUGUGUUGAACCCCAGCCCACGGUGCUCUGCAAACCUCUUCCCCUUUGCUCAUGGCCAGUUUGCCAAAUCUCUGGGGAGAAAGCGAGAGGCUGACCACUGAGCACCAGAGUACAUCCCCGCAGCCUUCCUCCUCACCGCCUUCCCUUCCUCAUCACCUGCCCCUCUCCUGGGCAGCUCUGGGAGGCAGGAGGCUUUUUGCAGCACUCGACAGAAAGUGCUUUGUGUCAGCCUCUUGAACGGGAGGCCUCCAAAAAUACCAAGACUCUUUUUUUCUAUUUUCCUCUUCUUAUUUUUUUUUCCCUUACCCCUAGAGCUAAAAAUGAGGGAGAGAAAAAUGCAGGAGGACACAUUGUUUUCUUUUUUCCCCCACCCAGCGCUGUAAAAUACUUCUUAAUGGUUGGGAGCAAGAGGAUCUCCGGGCUGGGCCUCCACUUUGUGUUUGCGAGUUUAUUUUUCUUAAUUCAUCCUUGACAAAGGACAGAGCCAUAAAAGACCCGACCAGCACGUCUGUGGGAAAAAACUGCCCUGAAAAGGGUCAGAGGAAUACUGUAGCAUUUACAAACAAUCCCGAGGGCUAAAGCCUCUGUGAGAUGCGGCUUCAGUUAUAACUUGCCUUUCUAGGAACAAGCCUACAUCUGUUUGGCAAUGCCAUAUUUUGUAGGGUAAAAUAAACCCUUGAGAACAAACAGGCCAGCUUAUGCAGAGGGGUAAAUGCCUGGGAACAGAGCUCACUUGUUAAUCCUAAAACUGUCAGCAAAGACCCACUGGAGAAAUUAUAGCCGGCCAUGGGCACUCAAGCUGUUUUCUCCUCGCCUCCCCCCACAAGCACAACAGCUGUAAAAUCUUCUUUAUUGUUCUCCUCCGGCUGAGGAGCUCGGCAGCGAGGUCUCUGGUGGGAGAACACGAGCAGCAUCUGCCCCGCCGCGCUUGCACCGGCGCCGCUGCACAAAGAAAGCGGUGGCGAUAAAAAACCACGGGGCAGCCUCGGCACCUACGAUGGAGGCUACGAAGAGGGAAGGCCGGCUGGUUCCUUCAUCGGAGCUGCACGUUUCUUUCCCCGCAGGAUCCUUACGUGCAAGGUCCUGCUGCAAUUCGGGAAGCCCCUUCCCUCCCCCUCGGCUCUCUCCCUGCCCUUCCCUCGCCGGCUCCAAGCUCUCCCUUGGGAAAACCCAUCUGUGCACCAGCAGCCGACAGCAGGGUGCUUAUCGGGCAUCUGCCCCUGCCAGGAGUUAUUAAUGGCACGCCAGCAAGCGCCCCAGCGAAACGGGCCUCGCAAGCAUCAAGCGCCUGCUGAAGAAGCGGGUUUAAAUCCUCCCUUGGGGAAUGACCUGCCGGCCACCUAAAAAAUGCGGGAUCGGUUCACUUUGUAAUUAAGUUCAGGCCGUCUCUUGUGCUUACACACGCAGAAACCCAGAUGUCAGCCUGGUACGAGUCAAAGUGCCGGGCUGCUUUUACAGCCCCAGCAGCACAGAGAGCACGAGGGCACAGCGCUUGCCACUGGAAGAAAACCUACUUUGAAUACUUGGAAUAUUUAACUGACUGCAACAGAUAAUUAGCCAAACCCUCUUACGCCUCCAAAUAUAGAUUCAUUAGUCAUAUGAAAAUAUCUCAUUGGAACCAAAUGUGAGUCAUUAGUGAAGUCAACGGCAGAUCAUAAAAAAGGGCAAUGUUUUUGUUGGCUUGGAGUUUUGGAGUCCCUUGCAUUCCGAGCAGCGAGUGCUGUAACCAGAUGCUGCUGCUGCGGGGACCCCAAAAGUGACCAGGUUCCUCCAGAAGUGACACCAGGAUGGCUAAAAUCACCACGAGGUGCAAAGAUGCGGCUGUAGGAUUUAACAAACAAAGCGAGCUGGCAGCUCUUUCAUAACAACAUAGCAGACGCGUGAUGGGUGGUCAGAGAAAGGGACCCUGCCUGAUUAAACCCUUGUAAAACCUGAGUUAUUUCUUGGGGAGUGGGAUGGGAACGUGUGCUAGGUGCCGGGACGCACACCGUGGGUUUUGCAGCGUGCCAGAUGCCGCAGACCGCCGUUCCUCUCUGGGCUCAUGGCUCCCGCAAACAAAUGUGUUAUAAAACUCCAAGGCCAUGAGUAAUCCCGUGCCGAGCGUUGUGUUGCAUGAGAGGCAUAAGCAGCUGCACUUUGCGUUCUCCUUAAUUUGAAAAGAAAAACCCAAACACCAGCAAACCUGCAGCAGAAAAUGCUAACGCUAAGUGCCACAAAGCCGGCAUUCCCGCGGGUGAGGGAGCUCCGUCUCUCAGCGCCCGACUUUAACCAUAUAAUCCCACGACGACGUUAACAGAGGUUUCCAGCCUCAUUAGCCCGGUCGCGUUCCCUUGGCUUUGCUAUUAACAUUUUUAACUAAUGAAGAAGUCAGUCACAUCUGCGUGAUACCCCGUGUACUGAAAAAGCUCUGGGUGUACCGAGCAAUGGGGCAGCAAGGAGGGGUGCGUGCUGGGGUUCAACAUGGGGAUUUCACACCAAAACCCCAAACACAGACAGCAUCCUUUGCGCAUCCCCAGGGAAGCACUGGGGAGGACAGCACGUAGGUGCAGGUUUUAUCCCCAUGGUCAGGCUUGGCCUGAAACACGUAGCUGGGUGCACGAUGUGGCUGGGGGGCAGCGGGAUGAGGGUGAGCCCCCUUCCCAUCUCUCUGGGGACAAUUUCCAGCGGGAUAACGCCCUUGAUGCCUUCAGUGGGGGGGCUGAUCAUCCCAGUUUGGGGGUGAGCAUCCCAGUUUGGGGGUCUGCAUCCCAGUUUGGGGGCCAGCAUCCCAGUCUUGAGGUGAGCAUCCCAAUCUGAGGGUCAGCAUCCCAGUUUGGGGGUGAGCACCUCAGCGGGGGGGUCAGCAUCCCAGUUUGGGGGUGAGCAUCCCAGUUUGGGGGUGAGCAUCCCAGUUUGGGGCUGAGCAUCCCACUCUGGGGGCCAGCGUCCCAGUCUGGGGGUCAGCAUCUCAGUUUGGGGGUGACAUCCCAGUCCGAGGGUCAGCAUCCCAGUCUGG